rnacentral:misc_RNA from 1 species
AGUGAAAAUGGUGAUUUAGAUUAGAGCUUUGUAUUUUUGAAGUGAAAAAGGGCGAUUUAGGUUUAAAAAGAAGAGAGUUUUGUGUUUUGAAGUGAAAAAAAUGGUGAUUUAAGUUUAUAAAGGGAAGAACAAAAACAUACAUUCAAUUUUAAAAGUGAAAAUAGUGAUUUAAGUUUAAAAAGGGAAGCAAAAGGGCACUAAUAUU